CCUCCCAGUUCUAUGGUGUUUCACGUAACCAGUGGCCAUUUUACAAAACAAGACUCGGGAGUGCAAGGUAACCAAGCUCCACUGUAGUUUUUGAAUAUAUACCGCUGUUUAACUUUAUCUUUUACUCUCGGAAUAUUUUUAACGGUUUUUCCCAGUCUGCUUGUGUGAAAAUGUCUCGUGACCGGUCCCGUAACCGUGGAGGAUUCCAGCACCGAGGCCGCGGAGGAAUCGGGAUGCGCGGCGCCAUGGGAAACCCAAACUUUCGAAAUCAAAACCAGCAUCCUUAUCAGAACCGAGGAGCCCAUAUGGGUGGCGGGUUUAAGCCGAAUUUGGGAAACCAACCCAUCCAGGCCUCUACGCCACAGAAGCCGCAAGAAUCAAAUCAGAACAAGCCAGCGGUGCAGUCACCUCCGGCGCAAGCCCCUGUCCUGCCCCAGCAGAGCAACAACAAAGGCCCGUCGCCACAGCCGACCGCCGGUCCCGCUCAGCCGAAGAUCCAGUCUCCACCGCCGCAGAAUACCGUGAAGACCCCGGACCUCGGUUCCCCACAGAACCAGCCCAAAAAGAUUCAACCCGCCCAAGGUGUGAUGGGAAAUGGCCAAAAACCGCUUGUUCCCGUGAUGAAAGCCCCCGAGCAGACACCUCCACCACCACAACAACCGAUCACCAAGAGCGAGGACGGCUCUCAGCCUCAGGAAUUGAGAGCAACGCUGUCUUUGCUGCGCAAGCCCGGGGAGAAGACCUACACUCAGCGCUGCCGUCUGUUUAUUGGGAACCUCCCAAACGACAUCACUGAACCUGAUUUCAGGAAAUUGUUUGCAAAGUAUGGCGUGCCCAGUGAGAUUUUCAUCAAUCAAAGCAAAGGGUUUGGGUUUAUCAGACUGGAAUCCCGUGCCUUGGCAGAGAUCGCAAAAGCUGAGCUGGAUGAUAUCCCAAUGAAAGGCAGACCACUUAGAGUUCGUUUUGCCACUCAUUCUGCUGCACUUUCUGUGCGCAACUUGUCUCCAUAUGUGUCCAAUGAGCUGCUGGAAGAAGCCUUCUCUCAGUUUGGGAUGGUGGAGAGGGCUGUAGUUAUCGUAGAUGACCGUGGCCGCUCCACUGGGAAGGGCAUUGUUGAGUUUUCUUCCAAGCCAGCUGCACGGAAGGCUCUUGAUCGGAUCAGUGAUGGAGUGUUCCUUCUCACUUCGGCACCCCGUCCGAUUGUGGUUGAAUUGUUAGAACAAUAUGAUGAUGAGGACGGUUUGCCAGAGAAACUUGCACAGAAGAACCCCAGUUAUCAGAAGGAGCGAGAGCAACCUCCUCGGUUCGCCCGUCCUGGUACCUUUGAGUUUGAAUACUCCCAACGAUGGAAGUCUCUUGAUGAGAUGGAGAAACAACAGAGGCAACAAGUGGAGAAGAACAUUCGUGAGGCCCGAGAGAAGCUGGAAGGAGAGAUGGAAGAUGCUUAUCAUGAGCACCAAGCAAACAUGCUCAGACAGGACCUUCUUAGACGUCAGGAGGAGCUCCGCCGCAUGGAAGAGUUGCACAGUCAGGAGAUGCAGAAGCGUAAAGAGAUGCAGCUCAGGCAAGAAGAGGAACGCCGUAGGAGAGAGGAAGAGAUGAUGCGGCAGAGAGAAAUUGAAGAACAGAUGAGGCGCAAACGUGAGGAGUCUUACAGAAUGGGAGGCUUUAUGGAUAAUAGAGACAGGGAGAUGAGAAUGAAUUCCAGUGGAGGCCUGGCGUUGGCUGAUAUGCCGUUUGGGUCACCUAGCCAGAAGUUCCCAUUGACCGGAAUGAAUUUUGAAGGACACCAGGGAAUGGGGGGAACAACACCUGGGGGCAUGGCGCCCAACGAAAUGGGGCCUCGGGUGAUUGAUGGAGGUUAAGCAGCAUAAUCAACUUUGAAAUAUGGGUCAACCGAGAAACCUGUUCUCAGCAACUGAGCAAUAUGGGCACAAGAUUUUCCUGUGCUGUGGACAAUAAUGUGGAGUCCUGUUGGAGUGUGACGUGGCAGCUUGGGAAAUCACGCUGGAUGCAUCAUGUUUAUAUCCAGUUUUUAAAUAAACUACAUAAAGAUCCUUAUGUCUGGUUUUGGGAAAUAAUUUUGAGAUGAAACCAUUGCAUUUUAGUUGGUACUGCAGAACCUUGACCAUGUAGCUGACUUUGUUUUAGAGUUGCUAAAUAAUAAUUUAAUCGCUUGGAAUGGCACAGUAUUUAAUGUCUAUUCAUUAAACUUGCUGGAAAAACUUUAGAGGUUUAAGAGUUUGUUCUGGUCUACAAAUGCAGACAGACCUCUGUAACCCAGUAGCACCCAGGCUGCUGUCCAGUAUCAAUUAAGGUCAAGGUGCUAUGUUUCUCUUGUUUUAUCACUGUUGUGUCCUAUUGGCUGACAGUUACUUCUGGAAAUCAUUCAGAAAGGAAAAUAAACCUGCAGUCUGAGAA